GAUGAACGCUGGCGGCGUGCCUAAUACAUGCGAGUCGAGCGAACAGACGAGGAGCUUGCUCCUUUGACGUUAGCGGCGGACGGGUGAGUAACACGUGGAUAACCUACCUAUAAGUCUGGGAUAACUUCGGGAAACCGGAGCUAAUACCGGAUAAUAUAUUGAACCGCAUGGUUCAAUAGUGAAAGACGGCUUUGCUGUCACUUAUAGCUGGAUCCGCGCCGCUUUAGCUAGUUGGUAAGGUAACGGCUUACCACGGCGACGAUGCGUAGCCGACCUGAGAGGGGGGUCGGCCACACUGGAGCGGGGACACGGUCCAGACUCCUACGGGAGGCAGCAGUAGGGAAUCUUCCGCAAUGGGCGGAAGCCUGACGGAGCGGGGCCGCGUGAGUGAUGAAGGUCUUCGGAUCGUAAAACUCUGUUAUUGGGGAAGAACAAAUGUGUAAGUAGCUAUGCACGGCUUGACGGUACCGAAUCAGAAAGCCACGGCUAACUACGUG
rnacentral:rRNA from 1 species